GAUCUUGGUUCAGGAUGAACGCUAGCUACAGGCUAACACAUGCAAGUCGAGGGGCAGCGAGAAGAAAGCUUGCUUCUUGUCGGCGACCGGCGCACGGGUGAGUAACGCGUAUCCAACCUUCCCCUUAGUAGGGCAUAGCCCGUAGAAAUGCGGAUUAAUACCCUAUGUUGUUCGAUGCGGACAUCUAAGUUGAACCAAAGGUUUACCGCUAAGGGAUGGGGAUGCGUCUGAUUAGGCAGCAGGCGGGGUAACGGCCCACCUGGCCGACGAUCAGUAGGGGUUCUGAGAGGAAGGUCCCCCCACAUUGGAACUGAGACACGGUCCAAACUCCUACGGGAGGCAGCAGUGAGGAAUAUUGGUCAAUGGGCGCGAGCCUGAACCAGCCAAGUAGCGUGCAGGAUGACGGCUCUAUGGGUUGUAAACUGCUUUUAUCAGGGGAUAAAGUGAGGGACGUGUCCCUUUUUGUAGGUACCUGAUGAAUAAGGACCGGCUAAUUCCGUGCCAGCCGCCGC
rnacentral:rRNA from 1 species